AGAAAAUGAACUGGAAUAGAGCUUUAAAUUCCACAUUUUGGGGACUUAGAGUAGAACUUGGGGGAGGGGCAGGGGAAGAUUACAAAGGGAGCACAGUAGAACGUACUUAUUAUCUUGAUUUGUAGUAAUGGUUUAUGGAUGUAUACCUGUGUCAAAACUUAUCAAAUUGUACACUUAAAAUAUGUGCAGUUAAUUGUAUAUCAAUUAUACUUCAAUACAUUCAUUUAAAAAGUGUACAUUAUUCAAAUCCUCCCUCAGGAGCUCUUUCUAGAAGUAAGGCAAUGAAACCAGGAAUAUAUGCCUAAAUGUGUCAGCAGACAAAGGCUUUAAAAAUGCUAGACUUGUAUUUGAAAGGCAUAGAGAAUUUUGCUUGGUUUCUGUAAUUCAUGGGGGUUCCAAUGGGCUAUCCUGAUAGGAAGCCAGCUGAUUUAAGGAAUCCCAAUAGGCAUUUUCUUAAUUUUAUCCAACAUUUCAGUACUGCCCCAACCACUCAACCAAGCUUUCAUGUUGACUUUCAGCCAUUGUGACAAGGCACCAUCAAUCAUGGACCCUUUACCAGGAGGGUCCAUGUCAUAAGCCACUAUAUAAAGGAAAUGAUGGGUGGACUGCUUUGGACAAAUGGAUUUAGGGUAGGAGAGAGGGACAACAGUAGGAGCAGGUGGAUAUUGCUGUUUCAACCAAAACCUCGUACUGACCAGAGCUGAGGAACAGAAGAUGGUGAAGGCCUGCAGAUGUAGGUAUUCAGCAUGUCAUCUGAAAUAUUCCCCACAGAGGCAAAAAGCAAGGAAAUUAUCUCUGAAAAGGAAUGAGAAGACAAGUCAGCAGAAUAUGUCAAUGUUUUGGUUGAAGAAGCUGCUUGAAUCUGGGCUUUUCUGGGCCAUGUGUUCUCCCACAACCAGCACUAAGAAAGGCUUUUGGUACAGGCCCAAGACCACCAUAAUCAUCAUUGAUUAUUCCUCUCCACCCCAGUGUCUCUAAAUAAAAUUUCUCUUCUUUCUCUGACAAAGGUGUGUUUGAGUGUUACUGUUCAGCUGAAGAGUGACGUUGGGUGACCUUAGAACCCUAGCCCUUCAUGUAAUCAGUUGGGUGUGAUAAGUAGAGGGAGAACCACAUGAGUCAGGAGGAAAUAUGUAGUUUACCCUUUUUUUCCUGUUUGAAAGAUUUACUAUGAUGUUUGUGGUUGGGCUUUGGUUUGGGAUAAAUUGAGGUGCUUUCUGGAUAUGAUAAGGGCUUAUUUGGUUUGAUAGACCAUCUAAACAAGUCCAGUGCAGGCUAAGACAGGUGAACCACCAGAUCACCACAGUUCACACUUCUCAUUCAUUUGUUAGCAGAAAUGAAGAUGCUUGUUUUCCUAGAAACAAGCCCAGGUCAUCCAUCAUGAAGUCCCGGAAUUGUAAAUGUGAGGAAGUGCAAAGACACAACAUACGCUUACAAAGGCAUAUGUACAUUUGGAACUCUUUAAAGGACAACAUCCUCGAGCUUCUCCUG
rnacentral:lncRNA from 1 species